UGGAAUGAAAAGCAGUGCCCUGUAUCUCUGGAGCACAAGCUCAAGCUGUUUGUCCUGUGCAGAGGACUAACCUAGAAACACACCAUGAAAUUGAGGCUGAAUUGUAUUUUUUUUCUGACUCUUUUCCAAGGUGUCCAGUGUGAUGUGCAGCUGUUGGAAUCUGGGGGAGAUGUGAUUCAGCCUGGGGGUUCUCUGCGUCUCUCCUGCAAAACUUCUGGAUUUACCUUCAGUAACUAUUGGAUGGCUUGGGUUCGCCAGGCUCCAGGAAAGGGACUAGAAUGGGUUGCAAGCAUUAGCAAGGGUGGAAGCAGUACAUACUAUGCAGACUCUGUGAAAGGUCGAUUCACCAUCUCCAGAGAUGAUGGCAACAGCAUGUUACAUCUACAGAUGAAUUCUCUUAGUACUCAGGACACAGCUGUGUAUUACUGUGCAAGAGACACAGUGAGGAAAAAUAAUAUGAGACUAGACAGAAAUUUUCCCUGCCAGGAAGUAACAUGCCAGUAAGGCCAGUAAAAGUUGUCCUCAUGAGAGCUCAUGAUGCACAGAAUACAGAAUUUCUACAUCCAGAAACUGGUGUGAAGUGAAACUGAUCCAUUUCUAUUUAUGGUAUAUGUUGUUUUUUCCUCUAUCCCUGGAGAAAGCAACUUUUCCCACUAACUAGUUGUCAUUUUCAGUGCCUCACUCUCAUACCCACCUUCUCCCCACAUUUAGUCAGUAGCUAUGUCUUAUAUUUCUGCUUUCAUCAUCUAUUUUUUAAACUCUCUGCUCAACUGCUGCAACUACACUGAAGUAGGCAUCAUCAGGAUUAUUAUCCUAGUUUGAUGGUUGCCCUUCCUCAAUACUCUCUUCACUACAAUCUGUUCUAAAUUCAAUUAUCAGAAUUAUCUUUCAAAAGCACAAGUCUAACCAUCGCCAUCAAAUUCCACAUUAUUCCAUAAAUUACCUCCAGGAUAAAAUAUAAAAUCCGAUUUGUCUUUUAAAUCUUUCAUAGCCAUGGCCACUUCUUGGAAAAAAUUUCUUAUUUCAUCCUAUGUUCCUUUCUUCCACAUAUUCAGCAAUACAGUGACACCGACCUCCUUUUUGCUCCUUUCACAAGAGAUUCCAUCUCCAUGUGUUUUGACUAGCUGGAAUUCUCUAUAUCUCUGCCAUUUGGUCCUCUUGGAUUUUUUCAGCUCUCACCUAAAAUUAUCCCAAAAUAAAACUUCAUGUUAACCCUUUGCAUAAUUUGACUCACUCUCUGAU